CCUACGGGUGGCAGCAGUGGGGAAUAUUGCACAAUGGGCGCAAGCCUGAUGCAGCCAUGCCGCGUGUGUGAAGAAGGCCUUCGGGUUGUAAAGCACUUUCAGCGGGGAGGAAGGCGGUGAGGUUAAUAACCUCAUCGAUUGACGUUACCCGCAGAAGAAGCACCGGCUAACUCCGUGCCAGCAGCCGCGGUAAUACGGAGGGUGCAAGCGUUAAUCGGAAUUACUGGGCGUAAAGCGCACGCAGGCGGUCUGUCAAGUCGGAUGUGAAAUCCCCGGGCUCAACUGGGAACUGCAUUCGAAACUGGCAGGCUAGAGUCUUGUAGAGGGGGGUAGAAUUCCAGGUGUAGCGGUGAAAUGCGUAGAGAUCUGGAGGAAUACCGGUGGCGAAGGCGGCCCCCUGGACAAAGACUGACGCUCAGGUGCGAAAGCGUGGGGAGCAAACAGGAUUAGAUACCCCAGUAGUC
rnacentral:rRNA from 1 species